UGAUGUAAAACACAAAGCUUUGAAUCAAUCUAUAGGUGAUGAUAUCACAGUACUGUCGUCAAUUGUUAUCUAUGUUUAAAAAAUGAAAAUAAAAACAAGAAAGAGAAAUCACAGAUGAUAUCUUAUAGGAGAAGGAAAAAAAAUCAGUGUGCUCGCCUGCUCGGCCGGCCGUUCAUUGGAGCAGCGUGUUGUUUAAUUAUGUAACUGUCAUUCUUUUCAAAAAAAGCUUAUAACUCCCACAAUUCAAACGUCAUUGCAGCGAGGAAUCUUUCUUAGACAUGGCGCCUGGAAGCGACAGGAAGCGCAAACGCCAUGUGAUUUGCCACUCUCCAUCAGAAGACAGUAGCGACGAUAAUGAAGUUGAAGAAACUAGGCCCUAUUUUCACAAUAAAUUAGCAUCUAUAAAUAUUUAGCUUCAUCUUUAAUUUAUUUCCUUUUCUGUGUCUCUUAUCAAUAUCAGUGGAGACGAAAGCAAUCAUAGCGAUAAAGAAGACUCGAGGAGUAGGAGGAUGGCGGCAGCGAUGGAGAUAGUGGAAACACAGGGACAUGUAUUCUUGUUCUUACUAUUUAAAGAGGAUAGAAAUUCAUUCUAAAUGUUGGUGUAUUUUAUUAUUUUCAGGUUAAGGGAUGGAAAAUGGAGAAGAAGUUUGUCCAAGUUCAUCGUUUAUUAUAAAAUGUAGAGGCAUAUAUAUUGUUUCUUUGAUUGAUCGAUUGUGUUUGUGCUUGUAGCUGCCAUGGAGGGUAAUUUGAAGUCUUCAUAAUUGAAUCAGGUGAUGUUUAUGCAGAAAGGGUUUUGGUAUUAAUUAGAUUUAUGAAAGUGACAAGGCACUGGAAGAUUCUCGGGAGGAGAGCUGUAGCGGGAAGGCUAGUUAAGGAAAGCUAUGGUUCUGCCAAACAGCAACAUCCAUUUAUAGUAGUAAGACUCUGUUUUCAGGUGAAAAUCUUGAGUUGAUUCGGGUACUGAAUGACCUCUAUCUGGGUACCCUAGGGUUCUAUAUCUCCAGUAAUAAUCAAAUAUUUUUUUAACUGAAGAGAUUAUCAAAUAUCGGUCUACCCUUAUGGGCACAUGAUAGUGUCCUUCUUGGCUAUAUUUAUUGGUUUUCAUUGUGAAGUUUAGCUUAGUUUACGGUGAUUUUCCUUUUUUGGUUGGUUAUUGUGUAUUAGGUUGAAGUGUUGUGGAGCAAGGGGGUUAAGAAAUUGCAUUCGCUUCCUCCUCUGCCUGUGAAAGGUCGGAAUCUCUCAAAAUGAGAACUUUCAAACAAUGUUGGAAUGGUUUAGCAGAAAGACAUAAAGUGCUUGCUGAAAAGCACAAAUGAGGUGAAGCACCAAGACAUCUGAGAACAAUAAAGAAAUCUAAGAUGAUAUGGUCUAAAAAUGGAGGUAUGCGUAGGGUUUGUGUUUGGGGUUUUCUUUUUCUAAAGCAUUAACCUGUCACAUUUCAUCCACGAUGUUGACAUAUGCAAAGUGUUGCAAUCCUUCCCAUCAUAGAAGACCACAUCAAACGAGAAAGACAACCAAACUAGAAAAGAGAAAGUUGAUGAACAUAGAAGAGACCUUGUAGCCAUGUAAAACAUUUAAU